rnacentral:tRNA from 1 species
GGAAGGGCUGUAGCUCAGUGGUAGAGCAUCUGCUUUGCAUGCAGAAGGUCCCAAAUUCAAUCCCUGGUAUCUCCU